rnacentral:rRNA from 1 species
AUUGAACGCUGGCGGCAUGCCUUACACAUGCAAGUCGAACGGCAGCACGGGACUCAGGCAACUGAGCCCUGGUGGCGAGUGGCGAACGGGUGAGUAAUGCAUCGGAACGUGCCCAGUAGUGGGGGAUAACUAGUCGAAAGAUUAGCUAAUACCGCAUACGACCUAUGGGUGAAAGCGGGGGAUUCGCAAGAACCUCGCGCUAUUGGAGCGGCCGAUGUCGAUUAGCUAGUUGGCGGGGUAAAAGCCACCAAGGCUACGAUCAGUAGCUGGUCUGAGAGGACGACCAGCCACACUGGGACUGAGACACGGCCCAGACUCCUACGGAGGCAGCAGUGGGGAAUUUUGGACAAUGGG